UUGGCCUACGGGAGGUAGCAGUGGGGGAUAUUGCACAAUGGGGGGAACCCUGAUGCAGCGACGCCGCGUGGGUGAAGAAGCGCCUCGGCGCGUAAAGCCCUGUCAGCAGGGAAGAAAAUGACGGUACCUGAAGAAGAAGCCCCGGCUAACUACGUGCCAGCAGCCGCGGUAAUACGUAGGGGGCAAGCGUUGUCCGGAUUUACUGGCGUAAAGGGUGCGCAGGCGGUCCUGCAAGUCUGGAGUGAAACGCAUGAGCUCAACUCAUGCAUGGCUUUGGAAACUGGAGGACUGGAGAGCAGGAGAGG
rnacentral:rRNA from 1 species